AAGAGGGACAAUAGUUACUUCCUUAGUUUGUCGUCAUUCAUUCCAAAGUCUUAAUAUCUUCUUCUUCUUCUUCUCUAAAUCUCUGGCUCAAUCUCUUCCUCUUCUUCGAAUUUCAGUCUAUAGACAUGUAAUGAUUUUUGCUUUAUUUUGUUCGUUUAAUCAUGAUUUUAUCUAUACACAUUAUAAAUAAAUUGAAUACCAAAACACAACAUCUGGAACAAAUUUGUGCGUGGGAAUUCAAAACCAAUGACUUUGUUGAGAUUUGAGUUCUUGAUUAAAUCCUGCAACAAAGAAAAGAAUUAGUCAAAGAAGAAGAAGCAAAGCAAAGGAGGAGCAAGAUGAAGAAGUCGUCGAAGAGAAGAAAUUGGUGUCGUGAAAAGAGUGGUCAACGACACAACAAGAAGAAAGACACAAGUCAACAAGAAGAAAGAGUUGGGCUUUGUGUGUUUUGUAGUUAUGUUAGUAUUGGGCUAUUAGUUAAAUUAGGCCCAAAGAAGAAAGAGUGUUGUAGUUAGUCUAAAGCAAGACUAUAGUAGUUGUUGUAGUUGUUAAGAUUGCUUGUGUAAGUAAACUUUAGGCAAUGAUGUCUAGAAGUAAGUCUAGGUCCAAGUAGAAGUAUGGGUGCAAGUAUGUGUGGUAAGUGGAAACGAACCACUAUAUGUAUGUGUUGUUUGUGUUGUGUAAGAUCAUCCUUUGAUCCAAUAAACAAAAUGUAGACAAUUAAUGUUUUCUCUCUUCUCUCUUACUAAACGUUUAUGUCUUUGUGUUGAAACAAGAAUCUAACCAAAGACUUGAGAGAAUGAGAGAACAAGGUUCUCUUUGUGUUUGUAUUAAAGUGAGUGAGUGAUACAAAGCACUAAAGAGAACAAAGAGAGAAUAAGGUUGUGACCUCAAAGAGUGUGAAGAGGUCCAAAUGUCAACAGAC
rnacentral:lncRNA from 1 species